UACGUAGGGUGCAAGCGUUGUCCGGAAUUAUUGGGCGUAAAGAGCUCGUAGGCGGUUUGUCGCGUCUGCUGUGAAAACUGGAGGCUCAACCUCCAGCCUGCAGUGGGCACGGGCAGACUAGAGUGCGGUAGGGGGAGGAUUGGAAUUCCUGGUGUAGCGGUGGAAUGCGCAGAUAUCAGGAGGAACACCGAUGGCGAAGGCAGAUCUCUGGGCCGUAACUGACGCUGAGGAGCGAAAGCAUGGGGAGCGAACAGG
rnacentral:rRNA from 1 species